GUUAGGAAUAUUGGACAAUGGGCGAAAGCCUGAUCCAGCCAUGCCGCGUGAACGAUGAAGGCCUUCGGGUUGUAAAGUUCUUUAGCCGAUGAUUAUAAUGACUGUAGUCGGAAAAUAAGCCCCGGCUAACUUCGUGCCAGCAGCCGCGGUAAUACGAAGGUGGCGAGCGUUAUUCGGAAUCACUGGGCGUAAAGCGUGCGUAGGCGGUUUUGUAAGUUAGGAGUGAAAGCCCAGGGCUCAACCUUGGAAUUGCUCUUAAAACUGCAAGGCUCGAAUCUCGGAGAGGAUAGCGGAAUUUCCAGUGUAGCAGUGAAAUGCGUAGAUAUUGGAAGGAACACCAGUGGCGUAAGCGGCUAUCUGGACGAGUAUUGACGCUGAGGCACGAAAGCGUGGGGAUCAAACAGGAUUAGAAACCCUUGUAGUCC
rnacentral:rRNA from 1 species